CCCGGCGCGGCAGCUGCGGCGGGCGCCUCUCCGGCUGGGGCGCGGGGCCACCGCCACUGGGCACCCAGGCGGAAGGCCGGCGCGGUGACGGGCCGGAUCCGGGGGCUGUGCCUCCUCCUUCCGGGGAGACUCCAGGGCAUCAGAAGGAAACUCUGCAAGGAUCUGCUAUCACAGAUAUGAAGAGUGGGAAGAAAUGUCCAGACACUGUUAAAAGCAUGAAUGUGGACCUUUGGAAGGAAGAAUUGCAAGGAAACCUGUCUGUCUCAGCUGGGGUUCAUUGUGGGGGAACAACAUCUCCCCUAAGAAUCUGUGAUCAUGGAUCUGCCUUCUCCCAGGCCGCCUCACUGAAUGGGGUGCUCAGAGUAGUGAUGAAAAAUUCAUGGAUUAACACUUGAUGCCAGACUGGUAGGAAAGUUUAUAUAGCAUGGCAUAUAGUAGCUAUGUUCUAGAAAUUUUAUUAUGUGUUUAUUGAACUGUACUUCAUUAUUGUUCUUUUUAAAAUUUAUAUUGUUUCUUUAUUUGCAUUAUGUACUCUUUUUGUAUUAUGAGACACAAAAUUUAUGUCCUUGCCAUCAUUAUCUUAUUAUGAUCCAGAGCUAAGUUUCAGGAGAAUUCUUUAUGGCACCUUAAAAAUUGUACUUCCAUAAGAAAAUGUACAAUAUUUAAUAUUCCUAUUUUCAUGGUCUCUGAUUUAUUAUUAGGCUAAACUUUUUACCUUUUAUGAGUUGUGUCCCCCGAAGAUAGGUUCAAAUUCUUAACCCCUAGGACCUUAGAAUGUUACCUUAUUUUGAGAUUGGGUCUCUACAGAGAUAAUCAAGUUAAAAUGAUAUCAUGAGGGUGGACCUGAUUCAAUAGGAUUGGUGUUCCUAUAAAAAAGGGUAGAAAUUCGGACAGAGAGAAAGACAUGCACAGAGGAAGACAACAUAAAGACACACAGAAUAGCACAUGAAGACAGGAUUGCAUCUACAAACCAAGGAACACCAAAGAUUGCUGUCAAAAUACCAGAAGCUACAAAAGGAAAGGAAGGAUUCUCCCCCUGAGCUCAAAGACAACAUGGCCCUGCUUGUCUACACCUUGACUUCAAACUUCUAGCCUCUAGAACUGAGACAAUAAAUUUCUAUUGCAAAAUCUGAGCA
ensembl:lncRNA